GUGUUGCUCGUGUGCUUGCCUUUGGAACGUGCCUAAGCACACCUAGUCCAGUUACAAGAACAAGCCCUUCUCGAGUUUUUCGCUAUAUACUAUCCAUGGUCAACUGUGCUUUCGUUUCUCCGCUGGGUCUCGUUCGGGGACCGGUUUCAGCGGGCACUAGCACCAGCGGCACAACGCUUAAGCUUGCUGUGGCGGCAAGGCGAGUUCCCGCGCGUCUUCAGUGUGCGCUGCAUAGUACGAAACAAGAGCGCGCACGGCUGCCGGCAGGCUGGCAGGCAGUGCCCGUUAGCGCUGUGACCACGCUAACCUCAUGGAUGACCCUGGGGUCUGCCGCCUGGGCCACCGACGGCACCGGUGAGCCGCUUGGAAUCGACGACUCACGUCUGCUCAUCGUGCUGCUCGGUGUCUUCAUCACGAUGCUGGUACUCUUCAUUAGCUGGUCUUCGAAGCAGGAUGACGGGGAUGAUUUUGUUGGUGAGUAUGACCCACGGCGUCGUUGAGUUUGCUCGAAGAGCGUGUACCCGUGAUCUGCAGCUGGCAACCCGUAAACGUACAAGUCUCUAUGUUUCCUCACCUGAACGCUCCAUGUUUUAUACGCAAAGCAUCCGUUCAGCGACUGACACUGUCGUCAUGUUGCGGAGCAGGGAACGCGCCCGCCCGAUCUGCUGCAGUCAUCUGAGACCUCGUCGAUGCCUCCGCAAACAAGUCCUCAUCCGGUGGCAGUUUGAUCAACGGCUGCGAGUCACGCCGCAAGCCCAGCAAGCACGCUUCGUGCAGCAGACGAUACUGGGCUGCGGUCUGAACCAUACCCAUGCGCUGUGCACGCAACUGCAGCACCGUCUGGGCUGUAAAGUCAGCGAAGGUUUCGCCGGGUGCCGGCCCAUCACCGUGUUUCAGUUUCUCCAGAAGCAAAUGGAGCGCGAUCCAUGUACCCGUGCGGCCAAUACCUGCACUGCAGUGUACCACGACAGGGCCGUAUCGAGUCCGGCUGGCCGAGCGUACCAGCGGCGCUGAGUCUCCGACUGGUCCAGCACCAGCACCAGCUGCUGCCGCUGCUGCUUGCGAACACGGCCCCAUCGCUGUGCCCCGCUCCUGCAAGCUAACCGUUAACAAACGCUCUCUGGCGUCGAGGUUGCCACGGAGUCGAUCCAACAUGGCCGCCUGGCUAGCUCCGUAGAGCGUCCGGGCAUCGUUCACGAGAUCGACGAGCUGCAGGAGCGGCACCACCGACUGCGGGACCCCGUGAUCCGGCCACGCCGUAUACUGCAGCUGGACGAGUCGCCAUCGAUCCCCGAUGCGCUCCAGCGGCAGCGAGACGGUGCUCUGGGUGCUAGCUGCAUCCCGCUUCUGGUUGAGCGGUCGCACGCGUUGAAGCUCUAUCACGCGAACAAUCAACGGUGUCGUCGUUUCCGCGUCGCGUAUAGCCGCCAAUACCGCAGCGUUCGCAUCGCUUUGCACUGAAGCACACGGCGGUUGCAGGCACCAGGCUGAGCACGCGCCCUCCACACGCCAGUGGUACUCCCGAACGAUUCGCAGCUGAUAGGCCCCGAAUACCCCGGUUCGCAUGUAUGGAGCGCAUUUCUCUCGCCCCUGUUCCAUGGUGCGCGUAAGCAUCACGAUACAGGGCACUCGUUGUUCGGCGAUCAUGUGCCAAAAGUCUCGUUCGCUUUCAUGGUUGGCACGCGGUGCCUGCGUUGCGAUGUAGGCGAAGCGCCGACUCUCGGGGAUCGCUCCCCGUAUCCAGCUGGCGUUGAUGUAGUCGGUGGCGGGGAGCCAGGGCGGCCCACCAGCGGCCGCGGACUGCACCUCCAGCAAGCGAACCCGCGUCCGAUCGAAAGGGAGAAUAUCAGCGUAGCGAUUCUUGACCCAGUUGCAUGGUAGUCGCGCUGCAUCCGAGGUUGCGCCUGCGGCUAGGCCCUCGCGCUCCAGGCGCCUGUCAAGUGCCCUGAAGGAUACCGCGAAUCCAUCCGCACACGUUGCUACCGCGAAUAAGGCUUCCGUCUGUGAUGCUGCUGCUGCUGCUGCUGGCACAGCGUCGUUGUCCCAGUCCGCUGCUCGAAACAAGUCCGUGGCAUCUGCGGCCGGCAGGCAUGCGCUUGCAGCCCCAGCAUCUGCAGCAGUCUCGCUGGGACCAGGACGUGUCGCGGCUUUUCGUCGUCGGCAAGCGAACGAGUGUCCGCGAAGUUGCUCGAACAUGUGCAAACCAAAAUGGUGUGCAUGCUGUUUUGGGGCCUUGGCUAGCGGUCGAUCCGCAGCUACCGCAUUUGCCACCACAGGAGCCUUGAGCCGUUCGAUGGUCCGCUCCAAGUCCGCUGCCAAGCGAUCAUACAAAGACUGUUCCAGCGACAGAUCCGUAAACCCCUGCGCAGUCUGUUUCACGGCCGUGUUGCUGGCGACGGAGACGCUCUCUGGGCACCGAUCCGCGG